UUGAAAACACCACAGGCCCUCUCCUAUGGCUCUAACCAGUUUAUUUAAAUAGAUUAACACUCUCCUUAGUCAACCCCAAUCCAUGCAUACCCUUAAAAAAAGUUACAAUUACAGAUUUGAAUAUGGUAUACAAACACAAACUCCAAAAAAUUACACAGAAGCAAUAUAUCUGAUUACACUGCACACUACAACAAAGCAGACAGCAGUAUUUCCUCUAAUCCAUCAUUUAAAUUAGCAAAGCUAAAAUCUGUUAACUCCAAGCUCCAUCAAAGUCUAACCUUCACAUACUAACCAGAUAGUAUAAUGGAGCUGCUAAACACGCUCUGCAAAGAUAUUUUAUAAUAAACUUUUCACAGAAUAAUACAUUUUCAUACAAUUUUCAUACUCUAGAUCAUAAAAGUGAAACUUAGAGAAAAAAAAAAGAACUUAAUUAACUCUGAAAUGGCAGAAUGUUUCUUAUUUAAAAUCUAUAUCAAAAUAUGUCCAAAAACCUCUAAGCAGAUUUCAGUUCCAGUCAGCAUCAAAGAACAAGUUGUUCCAUGGCACCAGAACUAAGAAAGCAGCAUUUCCUCUAGCUUGGUUCCUUAAAUGGAUCCAUACAACACUGUAGGAUGGAUUCUGAGUAUUUGCUGCCUGAGUAUCCAGAAUGCUGGGAGUGAAAAGGGAACCAUGAAAACAAUAACAAAUAUGAAGCCUGUUCUGAAGACAAAAAUCUCAGAUGACUGGGGGUAAAACAGCAAAUAUCAGCAGAAUGCACUCAUGAAUUCAAACUCUUCCAACUACAACUUCGUUGCUUUUCCAGAAUUUUUAAGUUUGCAAAAUCAUUUUCAAAGGUAAAACUGAACUUUUCACCUGUGUCA